AAGAAAACAGAAUUUUAGCUCUGCAUGAAGUGGCAGAAGCUAAAUCAACCAGCUUUGCUAUAGUAACUGUGCUGGCUACUGAGGUACAUCUUAGUAUAGUG
ensembl:snoRNA SNORA66 Small nucleolar RNA SNORA66